AGCAGUAGGGAAUCUUCCACAAUGGGCGCAAGCCUGAUGGAGCAACACCGCGUGAGUGAAGAAGGGUUUCGGCUCGUAAAGCUCUGUUGUUGGAGAAGAACGUGCGUGAGAGUAACUGUUCACGCAGUGACGGUAUCCAACCAGAAAGUCACGGCUAACUACGUGCCAGCAGCCGCGGUAAUACGUAGGUGGCAAGCGUUAUCCGGAUUUAUUGGGCGUAAAGCGAGCGCAGGCGGUUGCUUAGGUCUGAUGCGAAAGCCUUCGGCUUAACCGAAGAAGUGCAUCGGAAACCGGGCGACUUGAGUGCAGAAGAGGACAGUGGAACUCCAUGUGUAGCGGUGAAAU
rnacentral:rRNA from 1 species